rnacentral:rRNA from 1 species
GACGAACGCUGGCGGCGUGCUUAACACAUGCAAGUCGAACGGAAAGGCCCUGCUUUUGCGGGGUGCUCGAUUGGCGAACGGGUGAGUAACACGUGAGUAACCUCCCCUUGACUUUGGGAUAACUUCAGGAAACUGGGGCUAAUACCGGGUAGGAGCUCCUGCUGCAUGGUGGGGGUUGGAAAGUUUCGGCUGUUGGGGAUGGACUCGCGGCUUAUCAGCUUGUUGGUGGGGUAGUGGCUUACCAAGGCUUUGACGGGUAGCCGGCCUGAGAGGGUGACCGGCCACAUUGGGACUGAGAUACGGCCCAGAAUCCUACGGGAGGCAGCAGUGGGGAAUAUUGCACAAUGGGCGGAAGCCUGAUGCAGCAACGCCGCGUGCGGGAUGACGGCCUUCGGGUUGUAAACCGCUUUCGCCUGUGACGAAGCGUGAGUGACGGUAAUGGGUAAAGAAGCACCGGCUAACUACGUG